GCCUGGGUGGCUCAGUUGGUGGAGCAUCCGACUUUGGCUCAGGUCACGAUCUCGCGGUUCGUGGGUUCAAGCCCAGCAUCAGGCU
rnacentral:tRNA from 1 species